rnacentral:rRNA from 1 species
CCUACGGGAGGCAGCAGUGGGGAAUAUUGCGCAAUGGGCGAAAGCCUGACGCAGCGACGCCGCGUGAGGGAUGAAGGUCUUCGGAUCGUAAACCUCUGUCAGCAGGGAAGAACGGUCACUGUGCUAAUCAUCAGUGAAUUGACGGUACCUGCUAAGGAAGCACCGGCUAACUCCGUGCCAGCAGCCGCGGUAAUACGGAGGGUGCGAGCGUUAACCGGAGGUAUUGGGCGUAAAGCGCUCGUAGGCGGUAUGUCAAGUCAAGGGUGAAAUCCCCGCGGUAAACGUGGGAGCUGCCUUUGAAACUGGAAAACUGGAGUGUGUGAGGGAAUAGUGGAAUUCGAGGUGUGGGGGUGA